GACGAACGCUGGCGGCGUGCUUAACACAUGCAAGUCGAACGGAAAGGCCCUGCUUUUGUGGGGUGCUCGAGUGGCGAACGGGUGAGUAACACGUGAGUAACCUGCCCUUGACUUUGGGAUAACUUCAGGAAACUGGGGCUAAUACCGGAUAGGAGCUCCUGCUGCAUGGUGGGGGUUGGAAAGUUUCGGCGGUUGGAGAUGGACUCGCGGCUUAUCAGCUUGUUGGUGGGGUAGUGGCUUACCAAGGCUUUGACGGGUAGCCGGCCUGAGAGGGUGACCGGCCACAUUGGGACUGAGAUACGGCCCAGACUCCUACGGGAGGCAGCAGUGGGGAAUAUUGCACAAUGGGCGGAAGCCUGAUGCAGCAACGCCGCGUGCGGGAUGACGGCCUUCGGGUUGUAAACCGCUUUCGCCUGUGACGAAGCGUGAGAGACGGUAAUGGGUAAAGAAGCACCGGCUAACUACGUG
rnacentral:rRNA from 1 species